rnacentral:rRNA from 1 species
UAACCUGCCCUUGACUCUGGGAUAAGCGCUGGAAACGGCGUCUAAUACCGGAUACGACCUGCCCCGGCAUCGGGUGUGGGUGGAAAGUUUUUCGGUCAAGGAUGGACUCGCGGCCUAUCAGCUUGUUGGUGAGGUAAUGGCUCACCAAGGCGACGACGGGUAGCCGGCCUGAGAGGGUGACCGGCCACACUGGGACUGAGACACGGCCCAGACUCCUACGGGAGGCAGCAGUGGGGAAUAUUGCACAAUGGGCGAAAGCCUGAUGCAGCAACGCCGCGUGGGGGAUGACGGCCUUCGGGUUGUAAACCUCUUUUAGUAGGGAAGAAGGGCUUCGGCUUGACGGUACCUGCAGAAAAAGCACCGGCUAACUACGUGCCAGCAGCCGCGGUAAUACGUAGGGUGCAAGCGUUGUCCGGAAUUAUUGGGCGUAAAGAGCUCGUAGGCGGUUUGUCGCGUCUGCUGUGAAAACCCGAGGCUCAACCUCGGGCCUGCAGUGGGUACGGGCAGACUAGAGUGCGGUAGGGGAGAACGGAAUUCCUGGUGUAGCGGUGGAAUGCGCAGAUAUCAGGAGGAACACCGAUGGCGAAGGCAGUUCUCUGGGCCGUUACUGACGCUGAGGAGCGAAAGCGUGGGGAGCGAACAGGAUUAGAUACCCUGGUAGUCCACGCCGUAAACGUUGGGAACUAGAUGUGGGGACCUUUCCACGGUUUCCGUGUCGCAGCUAACGCAUUAAGUUCCCCGCCUGGGGAGUACGGCCGCAAGGCUAAAACUCAAAGGAAUUGACGGGGGCCCGCACAAGCGGCGGAGCAUGCGGAUUAAUUCGAUGCAACGCGAAGAACCUUACCAAGGCUUGACAUAUACCGGAAACUUCCAGAGAUGGUUGCCCCGCAAGGUCGGUAUACAGGUGGUGCAUGGUUGUCGUCAGCUCGUGUCGUGAGAUGUUGGGUUAAGUCCCGCAACGAGCGCAACCCUCGUUCUAUGUUGCCAGCACGUUAUGGUGGGAACUCAUAGGAGACUGCCGGGGUCAACUCGGAGGAAGGUGGGGAUGACGUCAAAUCAUCAUGCCCCUUAUGUCUUGGGCUUCACGCAUGCUACAAUGGCCGGUACAAAGGGCUGCGAUACCGUAAGGUGGAGCGAAUCCCAAAAAGCCGGUCUCAGUUCGGAUUGAGGUCUGCAACUCGACCUCAUGAAGUCGGAGUCGCUAGUAAUCGCAGAUCAGCAACGCUGCGGUGAAUACGUUCCCGGGCCUUGUACACACCGCC